rnacentral:rRNA from 1 species
ACAACGAAGAGUUUGAUCCUGGCUCAGGAUGAACGCUAGCGACAGGCUUAACACAUGCAAGUCGAGGGGCAGCACGGUGUAGCAAUACAUUGGUGGCGACCGGCGCACGGGUGAGUAACGCGUAUGCAACCUACCUAUCAGAGGGGAAUAACCCGGCGAAAGUCGGACUAAUACCGCAUAAAACAGGGGUUCCACAUGGAAAUA